CCCCACUGCUAUCGGGAUAGGACUAAGACAUGCUAGUCGAGUGAUUCAGGCAAAACGAGUCACGGCGCACAGCUCAGUAACACGUGGCUAAUCUGCCCUUAGGACGAGAACAACCCCGGGAAACUGGGGCUAAUUCGCGAUAGGCGAAGAACUCUGGAAUGAGUCUUUACCUAAAAAGUGCAACGUUAUCCUCGUUGCACCGCCUAAGGAUGAGGCCGCGACCGAUCAGGUUGUUGGCGAGGUAAUGGCUCACCAAGCCUUUUACCGGUGCGGGCCGUGGGAGCGGGAGCCCGGAGAUGGGCACUGAGACAAGGGCCCAGGCCCUACGGGGCGCAGCAGUCGCGAAAACUUUGCAAUAAGCGAAAGCUUGACAGGGCUAUCCCGAGUGCCAUCCGCUGAGGAAGGCUUUUACCCAGUCUAGAACGCUGGGGGGAUAAGGAGAGGGCAAGUCUGGUGUCAGCCGCCGCGGUAAUACCAGCUCUUCGAGUGGUGUGGAUGUUUAUUGGGCCUAAAGCAUCCGUAGCUGGCUAAGUUAGUCCCUUGUUAAAUCCACCGAAUUAAUCGUUGGAUUGCGGGGGAUACUGCUUGGCUAGGGGACGAGAGAGGCAGACGGUAUUUUCGGGGUAGGGGUGAAAUCCUAUAAUCCCGGGAAGACCACCAGUGGCGAAGGCUGUCUGCUAGAACGCGCCCGACGGUGAGGGAUGAAAGCUGGGGGAGCGAACCGGAUUAGAUACCCGGGUAGUCCCAGCUGUAAACGAUGCAGACUAGGUGUUUGAACGGCCACGUGCCGUUCUAGUGCCGCAGGGAAGCUGUUAAGUCUGCCGCCUGGGGAGUACGAUCGCAAGAUUGAAACUUAAAGGAAUUGGCGGGGGAGCACCACAAGGGGUGAAGCUUGCGGUUU
rnacentral:rRNA from 1 species